GAUGAAGAACGCAGUGAAAUGCGAUAACUAAUGUGAAUUGCAGAAUUCAGUGAAUCAUCGAGUCUUUGAACGCACAUUGCGCCCCCUGGUAUUCCGGGGGGCAUGCCUGUCCGAGCGUCAUUGCUGCCCUCAAGCACGGCUUGUGUGUUGGGCCCCCGUCCCCGGUUUCCCCCGGGGACGGGCCCGAAAGGCAGCGGCGGCACCGCGUCCGGUCCUCGAGCGUAUGGGGCUUUGUCACCCGCUCUGUAGGCCCGGCCGGCGCCAGCCGACACCCAACUUUAUUUCUAAGGUUGACCUCGGAUCAGGUAGGGAUACCCGCUGAACUUAAGCAUAUCAAUAAGCGGAGGA
rnacentral:misc_RNA from 1 species